ACCAUGUGCAUCCGGCUUAUGUGGGACCUGGAGAAUCGAACCUGGGUCCUUAGGCGUCCCAGAAAAUAUACAAGGCAGAUCGUUGGCCUUGCGAUCUGUAGCGUACAUGGGCUUGGCAACGGCAAAGUGAAUUAAAGAUGGGUGAUGUGCCACACUGUGGAAAAGGGAGGCAAGUACAAGACUGGACCAAAUCUCCAAGGUCUGUUUGGACAGAAGACCAGUCAGGCUGCUGGAUUCUCUUACACAGACGCCAACAAAAACAGAGGCAUCACCUGGGGAGAAGACACACUGAUGGAAUAUCUGGAAAAUCCCAAAAAGUACAUCCCUGGAACAAAAAUGAUCUUCGCUGGCCGGGCAUGGUGGUGCAUGCCUUUCAUCCCAGCACUCGGGAGGCAGAGAGAGAGAAUGGAUGUGCCAGGGCUUCCAGCCACUGCAAAUGAACUCCAGACACAUGCGCCCCCUUGGGCAUCUAUCUGGCUUACGUGGGUCCUGGGGAGUUGCGCCUCCUACAGGGGUUCUUAGCCGCUAAGCCAUCUCUCCAGCCGGGAUGCAGAGUUUUGCAUGGUUUGGUUGGUAAAAUGUUCUGGAUACAGAUAGUGGAGGUAGUUACACAACAUGGAUGCACUUAAUGCUGCUGAAUUGUGUAUGUAAAGAUGGCUGAGACGAUAAAUUUCACAUUGUGUAUC